GCGUCGUGGAGGCGGGCGCCGCGGCCGUGCUCGCGUCACGGCCCGUCGGCGUGCCCGCGAUCGUCGUGGACGACGUCC
rnacentral:tRNA from 1 species